AUGCCUCCCUUACACCUUAAAUGGUGUGUCUGUUCCCUGAGGGGCAGGAGAAAGGGUCCAGGUUUAGAGGGAGACAGACCUGCGUGCAAGUUCCAGUCCUGCCACCUUCUUUCCAUUUCUCACCUUUUCCUUCUUUCCCUCACCUUUCCGAUGCAGUUGAGAACACGACCUUGCAGGGCUGAGGCAAGGCCUAGAAGGCCUGUGGGUAAAGGACCCGGCCAGGGACCAGAGCAGGAAAUGUGUGGCACAAGGCCAGGCAGAGGAACCUGGCUCCAGGGCCAGUCACAUGCAUGUUUGUCACUUACUUGGCAGGCUUCCCAAAGGCCAUGUUGUCUUCCUGUUGGGGAACAAGAGCAGAGGUCAGUGGGGAGCCUGCAUCCGGCCAGAAAGACAGACCUGGGUUGGUGGUGGAAGUGUCGCAACUUAGAAGGAGGUCCUGAGCUUCCCAGCCUCUGAACCUCUCCACGGUCAACAACUGUCUCUCAGAUCAGACCAGGUGUAACGAGGGCGAGGAGCCGGUCCCAUCCGUCAGCACCACUGGCAACACGCGGCUGGCGGGGUACUGUUGAACCCCGGCCCCUCGGGAAGGCUUUGCUGCGCUUUGGGCCCGGAGGCUGGCCCGAGGCCGCCAGAGGACAACGCGCCGGCCCAUCUCUCCCUGUCCCGGCCGAACGCCAGAGAAGACUCAC
rnacentral:lncRNA from 1 species